UACAGAGGCCCCAAGCGUUACUGAGAAUCACUGGGAUUAAAGGGUGCGUAGGUGGCGCGUUAAGUCCGUUGUGAAAUCCCUUGGCUCAACCGAGGAAUGGCUUCGGAUACUGGCGUGCUUGAGGCCGGUAAGGGUGACUGGAACUGACGGUGGAGCGGUGAAAUGCGUAGAUAUCGUCAGGAACGCCAAUGGUGAAGACAGGUGACUGGGCCG
rnacentral:rRNA from 1 species